rnacentral:ncRNA from 1 species
UUAGGAUCAAUAGGACUGCGAGCCUGAGAGGGUGCGCUACUCUUAUAAUCCCCUAACGUAGUUGGGAUUGACGUUUGUAAUCAGCGUCAUGAACCAGGAAUCCCUUGUAAAUGUGUGUCAACAACGCACGUUGAAUACGUCCCUGCCCUUUGUACACACCGCCCGUCGCUCCUACCGAUUGGAUGACUCGGUGAAAUCACCGGAUGCUUACGAGCAGAAAGUGAUUAAAUCACGUUAUCUAGAGGAAGGAGAAGUCGUAACAAGGUAACGGUAGGUGAACCUGCCGUUGGAUCAGUU